rnacentral:rRNA from 1 species
GACGAACGCUGGCGGCGUGCUUAACACAUGCAAGUCGAACGGUGAAGCGCCUUCCUUUUUGGUGGGUGUGGAUGAGUGGCGAACGGGUGAGUAACACGUGAGUAACCUGCCCCCUUCUGCUGGAUAACCGCAUGAAAGUGUGGCUAAUACGGGAUAUUCUGGGUCUGUCGCAUGAUGGGUCUGGGAAAGUUAUUGUUUGGGUGGGGGAUGGGCUCGCGGCCUAUCAGCUGUUUGGUGGGGUGGUGGCCUACCAAGGCGGGGACGGGUAGCCGGCCUGGGGGGGUGGACGGUCAGACUGGGGCUGAGACUCGGCCCAGACGCCUACGGGAGGCAGCAGUGGUGACUAUUGCACGCUGGGCUCGAGCCUGUUGCAGCGACGCCGCGUGAGUGAUGGAGGCCUUCGGGUUGUGAGCCUCUUUCGCCAGUGAAGCAAGCCUGCCUCGUUUGUGAGUAGGUUGACGGUAGCUGGAUAAUAAGCUCCGGCUAACUACGUG